GCGGCCGCCUAGCUGCGGCCGGCGCGUCCCGAGGCUGCUAUUGUUAUUUGUCAGUGGACUCGCGGCCUUCGCUCUGCUGUGACCCUCUGCUGCCUGCUCAAGAUGGACCUGCCGCCCCUAAUCGGGGAAUUCGAGUGCCUGCGGUGGUUAAACGAACUGGCUGAGGAAUAUGCCGAGGUCGCGGAGGAGGUCGCUCGCCGCCGGGCCGCGUGCGAGGCCACGAUUGCGUACCUGAGAAUGCGCGUUGGCGGUGCUCGGCGGUCACCAACCCCCAUGCCGUCACUUGUCGAGUCAGGCGCUCCGGCGUCCGCUGCUCCGGGGCCGUCGCGCGUCGAAGGCGCGGCGCACACUGCGUCGCGGAGCGUGGUUCCAUACUCCGCGGGGUCGCCGGGGCGCGGAGGCGCGGCGGCUCGUGGUACCGGAAGACGCCGCCGUCGUGCGGCGAUCGCCACCGUGUUGCCUGCAUGGCGAUAAGCAGAAUAUUCUGCUCCAUUAAGGAU